UACGGUAGGUGGCAAGCGUUGUCCGGAAUUAUUGGGCGUAAAGCGCGCGCAGGUGGUUUCUUAAGUCUGAUGUGAAAGCCCACGGCUCAACCGUGGAGGGUCAUUGGAAACUGGGGAACUUGAGUGCAGGAGGAGAAGAGUGGAAUUCCACGUGUAGCGGUGAAAUGCGUAGAGAUGUGGAGGAACACCAGUGGCGAAGGCGACUCCUUUGGC
rnacentral:rRNA from 1 species